CUUGACUAACCAUAGGAGGUCCAGCCUGCCCAGUGACUCUGUUCAACGGCCGCGGUAUCCUAACCGUGCGAAGGUAGCGUAAUCACUUGUUCUUUAAAUGAGGACUAGUAUGAAUGGCACCACGAGGGCUACACUGUCUCCUUUUUUUAAUCAGUGAACUUAAUCUUCCCGUGAAGAAGCGGGAAUAAACCUAUAAGACGAGAAGACCCUAUGGAGCUUAAAACAACAUAGCACUUGCCACAUAACACAAAAAUUUCUGAAUACCCUAAUUUUUCAAAGCAACAUGACUAUAAGUUUUUGGUUGGGGUGACCGCGGAGCAUAACACAACCUCCACGUUGAACGAACUUUAUUCUAAGCCACGAACCACUUUCCUAAGCAUCAAUACAUUGACAUUAAUUGACCCAAUAUAUUUGACCAACGAAC
rnacentral:rRNA from 1 species